AAUUAACUAACAGAAACUACCUACUAAAUCUACUAAUUUAUUCUUCUUCUUCUUAUUUUAUUUUUUCUUUUUUCCUCUUAUUCUUCUUCUCCUUCUUCUUGUUUUCUUCUUCUCUUCUUCUUCUUCUUCUUCUUCUUCUUCUUCUUCUUCUUAUUCUUCUUAUUCUUCUUCUUCUUAUUUUAUUUUUUCUUUUUUCCUCUUAUUCUUNNNNNNNNNNAUUUUCUUUUUUCCUCUUAUUCUUCUCUUCCUCUCCUGUUUUUCUUCUUCUUCUUCUUCUUGGUUCU
rnacentral:lncRNA from 1 species